UAGAGGAAGUAAAAGUCGUAACAAGGUUUCCGUAGGUGAACCUGCGGAAGGAUCAUUAACGAGUUUGAAAUCGAGAGCCUGUUGCUGGUGCGGAAACGUACAUCGUGCACGGCUCCCGUGCUCAAUCCAUUUCAACCCCCUUGUGCACCUUAUCGAAGUCAGUAGUCUUUCUCUUUUUGUUUGCCGGUUGUGUGCGGGAACCUCUUUCUGUUCACUUGGCCGGCGAGGAGAAAUAGAGGGUCGAAAGCUUUGACUUUUCUGUUAAACACUUUGUAUGUCUUGUGGAACGUAUUAGCUCCUUUGUAGGGGCGAAAUAAAUACAACUUUCAACAACGGAUCUCUUGGCUCUCGCAUCGAUGAAGAACGCAGCGAAAUGCGAUAAGUAAUGUGAAUUGCAGAAUUCAGUGAAUCAUCGAAUCUUUGAACGCACCUUGCGCCCCUUGGUAUUCCGAGGGGCAUGCCUGUUUGAGUGUCAUGUUAAUCUCAAACCCCUUGUCUUUUUUGUUGACUUGGUCGGUUUGGACUUGGAGGUGUUGCUGGCGUGCGUCGGCUCCUCUUAAUUGCAUUAGCUGGACUUUGGUUCGCAUUUGACGGUGUAAUAGUAAAGUGUUCGCCGGGCGUGCUUGCCUAACGGGUCUGCUUCUAAUCGUCUUCGGACAACUCUGUUCAUUUUGACCUUUGACCUCAAAUCAGGUAGGACUACCCGCUGAACUUAAGCAUAUCAAUAAGCGGAGGAAAAGAAACUAACAAGGAUUCCCCUAGUAACUGCGAGUGAAGCGGGAAGAGCUCAAAUUUAAAAUCUGGCGGCUUUCGGUCGUCCGAGUUGUAAUCUGGAGAGGCAUUUUCCGCGCUGGACC
rnacentral:rRNA from 1 species